GAUGAACGCUAGCUACAGGCUUAACACAUGCAAGUCGAGGGGUAACAAGAGAAAAGCUUGCUUUUCUUGUUGACGACCGGCGCACGGGUGAGUAACGCGUAUCCAACCUGCCUAUAACUAGGGAAUAACCUUGCGAAAGUAAGACUAAUGCCCUAUGACUUCCUUUGGCGGCAUCAAAAAAGGAAUAAAGAUUUAUCGGUUAUAGAUGGGGAUGCGUCUGAUUAGCUUGUUGGCGGGGUAACGGCCCACCAAGGCAACGAUCAGUAGGGGUUCUGAGAGGAAGGUCCCCCACAUUGGAACUGAGACACGGUCCAAACUCCUACGGGAGGCAGCAGUGAGGAAUAUUGGUCAAUGGGCGGAAGCCUGAACCAGCCAAGUAGCGUGCAGGAUGACGGCCCUAUGGGUUGUAAACUGCUUUUAUACAGGGAUAAAGUUAGCCACGUGUGGUUAUUUGCAGGUACUGUAUGAAUAAGGACCGGCUAAUUCCGUGCCAGCAGCCGCCGUAA
rnacentral:rRNA from 1 species